AGCUUCGAGGGGUUGAAAAAGAUGAAACCGAGGAUAAAUACCCUUAGCUCGAGCUCGGAGCCCUCCUUGACGGUCAAAUCGUGCUCGCCGAUGCGGACGUAGAGGCGUUUCCUGAUGCAGUGGGCCGCGGUCAGCACCCAUCUAGGCGAGAUCAGCGUGCCUCCGCAGAAGGCCUCCUGAAGAAAGUACAGCCACUUGCCAGGGCCAGUUGCCGCGGACCGACGGUCUACCGCCGAUGAUCCUCGUGAAAUAAGACAACCGAGAGUUCUUCUGGGUGCUCGCGAUACCGCACCGCCAGGCGUUGAGAUUCUUCUCGGGGAUGAAGCUGUCCACCGUGUUCGGAGUCAGCUCGAACUCGUCCAGCACCAUGUCUGCGAACGCAAUUCGACGAACGCUACGCUUUACGAGAACGUCGCGGAUAGAUCAACUGAAGGAGAGUCUCUCACCGUCGCUGUCCUCUUCCUGUUUGGCGCGGAUCUUCCGGUGGAUCCAUCUUUGGCAGAAGCUACCCUCCACGUAGCAGUAGGCGCUCUGCCUUAUCACGUCGCGGCCGCAAAUGCCAGGCUUCUUGCACCACCUUUCGAGCAAUUCAGCAAUUAAAAGAGUUGUUAACAUUUUUUUUUUUAGUACUCUAUCCGUCGCCUCUGAUUCUUGGUCCAGAUAACUGCGUUCUAGAUCGUGUACGAACUUUCUAACUCGGGCCGACAAGUAAACUUUGCGAUCGAAAAUUCAUCCAGUUAAGAGACUACCGUGUUCACUAAUUGAUAUCCGACUUCGCCGACUAGGAUCGCUGAUAUUUGUGUACCUAUAGCGUUGCGUGGUGCAGAACCUCGUACACGGCGACCAUUUGCUCCACUUUCCGUAGUGACCCACGGACUUGUCUUUCACAUCCUUGCCUCUUCUCUCCCCUUGUCUCGGCUCCGCCUCUUUCUUAGGCAGCUGGAAUUAUUAUAAUAAUUUAUAGACGGACAAAUGGAUCCUUCGCGCGACCUUCCGGCCCAUAAUUUAAGGUAAUACGUUAUUACACACGUAUUAUACCAAGAUAGAAUUAACGAUAAGAUUAUAACGAAAUAAAAUAUUUUAACAAUCAA